rnacentral:rRNA from 1 species
AUUGAACGCUGGCGGCAGGCCUAACACAUGCAAGUCGGACGGUAGCACAGAGGAGCUUGCUCCUCGGGUGACGAGUGGCGGACGGGUGAGUAAUGUCUGGGAAACUGCCCGAUGGAGGGGGAUAACUACUGGAAACGGUAGCUAAUACCGCAUAACGUCGCAAGACCAAAGUGGGGGACCUUCGGGCCUCACACCAUCGGAUGUGCCCAGAUGGGAUUAGCUAGUAGGUGGGGUAAUGGCUCACCCAGGCGACGAUCCCUAGCUGGUCUGAGAGGAUGACCAGCCACACUGGAACUGAGACACGGUCCAGACUCCUACGGGAGGCAGCAGUGGGGAAUAUUGCACAAUGGGCGCAAGCCUGAUGCAGCCAUGCCGCGUGUAUGAAGAAGGCCUUCGGGUUGUAAAGUACUUUCAGCGGGGAGGAAGGCGGUGAGGUUAAUAACCUUGCCGAUUGACGUUACCCGCAGAAGGAGCACCGGCUAACUCCGUGCCAGCCGCCGCCGUAA